AGCAGUGUAGAGUGGUUAUCGCGCAAGACUAGGAAUCUUGUUCCUUUGGGAGCGCAAGUUCGAGUCUUACCUACGUCG